AUUGAACGCUGGCGGCAUGCCUUACACAUGCAAGUCGAACGGUAACAGGUCUUCGGAUGCUGACGAGUGGCGGACGGGUGAGUAAUACAUCGGAACGUGCCCGAUCGUGGGGGAUAACGAAGCGAAAGCUUUGCUAAUACCGCAUAAGAUCUACGGAUGAAAGCAGGGGACCGCAAGGCCUUGCGCGAACGGAGCGGCCGAUGGCAGAUUAGGUAGUUGGUGGGAUAAAAGCUUACCAAGCCGACGAUCUGUAGCUGGUCUGAGAGGACGACCAGCCACACUGGGACUGAGACACGGCCCAGACUCCUACGGGAGGCAGCAGUGGGGAAUUUUGGACAAUGGGCGAAAGCCUGAUCCAGCCAUGCCGCGUGAGUGAAGAAGG
rnacentral:rRNA from 1 species